AACAAUUAUCAAAUUAGAAAAUCCCUUUAUUCUCUCUCUCACGCUGCAACCCCCUCCCCCCUCCUGAUAACUCUCUCUCCCUCUAACCGUCUAUUGCCACCGAUUUCAACCAUCACUUCAACGAAACGAUCCUCCUCUGUACCGAUUUCGUCUCCUUCUCGUAACCCAUCCCUCCUCUGUGCCGCACCUCCAAGGAACGACCGACUGCGAGCACCGUUAGAGCUUCCAUGUGCACCCAUCGCUGCCGAUCUCUCCAUUUCCGUCUGAUCUUUCUCUUUCAGAUCACUCGUUGUAUGGUUUUGUCUUACCGUCGCCCAAUCUCAGACCUGCCGUCGGCAUCAUUGCUUUCCAGAAUCGGCAUUUUGGGUAAGUUUUUGGUGUCUUGUAUGGGUUUUCUUGGCGAAUCUUAAAUACCUACCAGAUUUGAGCCAGAUGCCAUCGGAUCCACGCCAGAUGCCCACCCGUCAACCACCGUACAAGACCCACCGGUUAUUCCUCCACCGAAUUCGCACCAGUCACCUAGCCUAGCCUCGCACCAAAUCUGGUCAGUCCUCGCGUUGAAUUCGGUCAGUUCUCCACCAACAACUAUCAGUCCUCCACCGAAUUCGUCGUACAGCCACGCUGCCUCUAAGAGCUUCUUAUAGUUUUAUAAGUGUUCUUGUUCCUCUUUUAUUUUUCUUUUCAGAUAAGUUAGUCGAGGCUUGAAUGAAGCAUUGAUUUGAGCAAACACUUCGAAUUGAUUUUGAAGUGUUGGAAGGAGUUGAGUUGCUGUCUAAUAGGUUUGAGACCGAUAUUGGCAAGGUUUUGAUUUCAAGGGACUGGAGCCACUUUCUAAAAAGUUAAUGAUGUUUGAACGUUUUGAUAGGUUGGAUUGCUUUGUUGUAGUUUUGAAGCGACAUUCAAAUCAAGCCACACUUUGGGUAAUCUAUUUGAAGUUAAUCGAUUAUUUUGGUGAAUGAAAAUUUGAAGACUUGGGCUUCCAAUAUUAUGUAGUUUUGAAUGAAAUUUUGUAGAUAAGAUUGGAUUACUUUGUUGUAGGUUUGAACGACAUUUUGUAGAUAAGAUUGAGCUUCCAAUAUUCUCUAUUUUUUAUUGCUUGUAGAUGAGAUAAGUUGUGAAAGUUGGGCGAAAGUGAAAGGUAAUUGUUCCUCUUGAGACUGGAUAUGGUCAAAAGAGAAUGAAUGAAAUCCCAAUAAAUCCUUAACUUUAGGUUGUAGAUAUUUUUUAAGUCUCGAGUAUGAUAUUUUUCCAUUGCAUAAAGUAAGCAAAUCAUGUACAUUUUUCCUUGUGCGUGACUUUUUGUCAUUGUUAUAUCUUAACACUUAUUUUUAUAUUUUUAAAUUUGAU